rnacentral:rRNA from 1 species
GACGAACGCUGGCGGCGUGCUUAACACAUGCAAGUCGAACGGAAAGGCCCUGCUUGCAGGGUACUCGAGUGGCGAACGGGUGAGUAACACGUGGGUGUUCUGCCCUGCACUUCGGGAUAAGCCUGGGAAACUGGGUCUAAUACCGGAUAGGAGCCAUUUUUAGUGUGAUGGUUGGAAAGUUUUUUCGGUGUAGGAUGAGCUCGCGGCCUAUCAGCUUGUUGGUGGGGUAAUGGCCUACCAAGGCGGCGACGGGUAGCCGGCCUGAGAGGGUGGACGGCCACAUUGGGACUGAGAUACGGCCCAGACUCCUACGGGAGGCAGCAGUGGGGAAUAUUGCACAAUGGGCGCAAGACUGAUGCAGCGACGCCGCGUGGGGGAUGACGGCAUUCGGGUUGUAAACUCCGUUCGCUAGGGACGAAGCUUUUUGUGACGGUACCUAGAUAAGAAGCACCGGCUAACUACGUG